AUCUGCUUCUUGAAUGCAUUGCCUGUAAAUAAAUAAUAGGAAGGGUUACUAAUGCACGAAGCAUCCCAAGCUUUGGAGAGGGCUGAAACCGUGACCUGUAAGUCACAAAUGAAGUAACUUUACAAUUAAAACCGAAGCCAUCUCAAGGAGCGUAAAUACCGUUGUUUUUUCUUUCUAUUUUGUGCAUUUGUGUGUUGAUAGAAUUAUUCAUUGUUAGUGUCAUUUAAAAGAAUAGAUGCAUAAUUGAAAACACAAGGCAAUGGAGAUCUAGCAUGGCAAAUCUGAUCAGCUUGGAAUUCUGUGUCAUUCAGGUCUCUUUGCAGCUGUGUUUCGACUACCAUAGGAGGAGGAGCUGAGACGCAGACAGAGCCAGAGCUUGAGAACAAGUUACAUGAUGCUAGCAUGCAGGUUCUUUACUCUAAUACUCAAUAGCUGGUUCUUUUAUAGAGACCCUUGAGUAGCUAGUGGAGAUUAAAGGUUCUUUUAAUCAAGUUUCAAAAGCCUUUCUGUGAAUUGCAGCAGAAGAUUUCUCAUUUGAAACCAAUCUUGAAACUAUCUUGUAUGACCAAAAAUAAAUAUGGAAUGGUUUGCCAAUAAACUUAUUAAACUCUGUCUAGAUCUCAAAAGAAAGAAGAAUAUAAUAACCAGAUGCAAUUGGCAAUAUAAAGUGAUAGAAAAUGAUAAUGCAAGAAUAGAUAAGCUAGCAAAAGAUAAAGCUAGAAAAAACAAGUAGAUAAGAUAAAGUGUGGAUGCAGUGCUAACCUUCAGAAAAGGAGCCAAAAGGG
rnacentral:misc_RNA from 1 species